AACCUCUCAGGGUCGCACCUGGAGAGUUUCCAGUCUUCUACCAGUCUUGACUACAGGAGGAAGAGUCAAGCAGAGGCGUAUCUGUUCCAUUCCUAGGUUGGCCAGUGGCUAGUGAGUGGAAGGCAAUCUGCAACAAGU